rnacentral:lncRNA from 1 species
GAACUGCCUCGCAAUGGGUGUAAAACCUCAAUGCACAUUUCUCUGAAGGUCUUCUGUCCCUCCUGAAGACCUUCAUUUUGGUCAUCCUCAGUCUUUGAACUCCUGGCAUGUUAAAUUUUUGGACAUUAUGAAACACAUCAGGAGUGUCUGUUGAAAUGAAUGAAUGUUCCAGUGGGCAAUGCACACGUGAGAGAAAAUCCUUGAGCGCAGUGGCGGAACACUGCUCGGAGUAUCUGCCUGGAAUACCAAGCUCUGAGUUUGCACAGGCUCGAUGGCAGUUUCAGAGUAACAAAAGGAUAAAUGAUGCUGAUCUUUCUCCACACAAUGACACCUUUAAGAGAGAGUUACAGUCAAAACCACAUGCAUUCAGAUUGUGCAGCGUUGUGUCCGUGAACUUCCAGAGUUUGCAUUAAAAAGUGACAGAACAUCAGAGUGCCAGAAGCUUCUCAUAUUGUGGCCCUGAAGUAAGUGCUGUGGACACAAUGAGAGAUUCGCCAUUCAGCAUCCUGAGGAGAGCAGGAAGAGGUGAAGGUUCUGUUUGAUCCACUGCUUCCAAAGUUCCAUUAGAGCUGCUGAGGGCUGGAGCUGGGAAAGGAGCAGAGCUUCUGGACAGUCACUCAGGUUGUUGUGUUCAUCUUGGUGGGAUAAACAAAUAAGGGAAAAGCUGCUGUAUCUCUUCCUUGGCACAACCCAGUAUCCUUAUUUGCAAUUUACUCCUUGUUAUGCAAGUCCCUUUGUGCCAGAUCUUGAUGUUUUGGUUGUUUCUUCAUUAAAAUAAUACCUGCUAAGGAAGCUUUC